GGCUAUUGUUGCUAAGGCAACCACUUCACUGUAUCCUUGUUUUAUUUAGCACAUAGAGUCCUUUAUGAGCUAGAUUUUGAAGAAUCACUGUUAGAUUUCUUGUCUCCUUAUCUUUUUCUUUUAGAAAGCUGGACAUCCGUGUCAAAAAGAAGUUAAGGAAAACAGUAACUUCCCUGAGCAUCAACUCGGAAUAUGCAGAGCUUAUGAAACACCCAGAGGAAAAAGAGAAUUACAAAGCCUUCUGACUCUGACCCACUGCUUGCUGAACACAGCAUGCAAUUAAGCUGAGCGGUAUGCAUCGCUCUGUAGGUUGAAUUGUUGUUGUUCAGUCGCUCAGUCGUGUCCAACUCUGAGAUCCAUGGACUGCAGCCUGCCAGAAUUCCGUCCUUCACUAUCUCCCGGAGUAGGUGGGAUGGUACUACAGCAGGCGCUAAAGUCAGAGAAAUGAAAAGACGACCAGAGUCAACUGCCCUCAGUGUCUUAAAACAUCAACUGCUUUAUAGUAUAAACCUUAAUGUCUUAUCAUAUUUCUACCUGAAAUCAGAUGUUUUAACUUUUUAAUGAUUGUAUACGCUUAUGUGGGUUAAUUGGAAUAUGAAAAUGAAUUAUUUCUUGUUCAGUGAUUCCAUUUUCUAGUUAUCUAUAAUCAUAUUUACCCUAUUUAUUCAGCUUAACUUCUCCUCUUUUAUCCUGUUUCUUUGGCCAGUACAAACUUUAUCAUCUUUUGAAUGGAAUUUUAACUCAGAACAUCGAAUAAAUGAUGACUGUGAUCUUCUUA